UCACUCACCGCUCAAAGGACAGUGGAUCCAUGCAGCUGCCUUUGAAAGCAUUGUGGUAACAUCUGGUGAAGUUGAAAAUGUGGAUACGAUUGACCCAAGAAGCGUCUAUAUAGAUAUGAAUCCUGAAGUAUUUUGAAACUGUGCACAAGGUGACACACUCAAGAAGUUCACGUCGAGGACCUGAGGCAGAAAAGGCUGAUUCUGCAGCCACCGGCAGUUACACAGCUCAGUGCCCAUUGCAGAAGAAAAACAUAAUGAUGGGAGAACAAGUUUCUAAACAGAAAAGAACACCUGGUAAUGAAGAAGUGUCGCACUUGGGAGGAUGAGAUAAGGGAACAAGGACUAUAGAGAUGGAAAGAUGAACCAUGGCCUCGCAGUUAACAGCUGACUUGAAUUCGUGACUGUCUGAAUUAAGAGUUUUAUGUCCAGCAUCUUCAUGAGAAACGCACUCUAUCGCACACCACGGAAUUGAUGCCAGAGUUUUCAUUAUUCUCCUGAAGAACAGUCACUGUGGCAAUUGGUUGCUUGCAACUAGGUGCUAUCAUUACAAAAGUCACUGGAUCAAUCUAAAAGCAUGUUUUUGGCACAGAAUAUUUUUUCCACUUUUAUCACAAUUCACCAAUUUACUAUGGUUCACAUUAUUGUGUGGUGCUUUGCAACGCUCUGAAGACAAUUUUUGACUCCCUGUUAAAUUUUCUUGGCCUUCUCUCCUAUUUUUCAUUUUGCUGAGAGACAGGCUUGGUUUGCAACAAAGGCACUGUGUAAUUUUUUCCCUUCAUAAGUUGCUCAAAGGCCCACAUUCAUGACAUUCUCUGCCUCCUCCUUUGUGAUGAGUCUUUUCACCCUGCUCUGUUAAUAAUUAGAAAGACGGCGUCCCUCUCUUCCCUUUGCUAAGAAUAAUCAGAGAAGUAUCUCUUCAUCUUUUUCCCACUUUCCUUCCUAGCCAGCCAAGUAUUCUGAGCUGAUCAAAAGUAGUUUAUUCAAGUGUCAAAUGUGUUUCCAGGAGUGCUAAAGUGAAGAAAAUUCAAUGUCGUGCAGGUACAAUACAUGUAUAAUUUAUAGAUAAACAGAAUGAGGUUGGCAGGCGCUUCUGAUGAACACUGUGCGAGUCGUAAAUGCUCCCAGUGCAGGUAUCCAUGGGUUUAUUCAAAGACCAGAUUCUAGCCACCAAGUGCCUUCAAAGGGUGGUGUUGCUGCUCCUUCUAGUCUGGGCAUGAAAUCACAACAAUGGCAACGUUAUUACAGGAACAGCACCAAGAAAAAGCCAAAGCAGAAACAUUCUUGUGAAAUACACUCCCAUUGACUUGGAAGUUCAUUUUCUUUUUGUUUUUUAGGUUUUUUUCCGAAAGCAAUUUCUUUGCACCUGUCACAUCUCAGGUCUUUACAUAAAAUGCUCUGUAGGAGAAAUCUGCAGAUCGAUAGUUCUGUGCCGUAAAUGAAUAUAAAAGAAAUGCACUUCAACCCAGUGUUUCCUUUAGUCCAAAUAAAACCAUUUAAAAGCUUUAUGAAAAUUAUAUUCCACAUUAAGAUCAUAAGCCUGAACAACCUCGUACUCCAUACAUACACAGUUGAAUCUAGACACAUCUGAAUAGCUAGCAAAUAUCUACAGCAAAAUAGUGUCAUGCCCCAAUAUCUGGACAUUGAAUACAUUUUUUUAGCUUUCUCCCUGAGAAAGUAUGAUACUGAUAGCUGAAGAUUUUAAACCUGAUGAAAUUAGGGCAAUCCUUUGUAUGAAUAAGUAGCCAAUUCUUAAAAACUACCAAAGACCUAAUCCUUCAGUCCACCAUGAAGAAUCCCUUAAAAUAAAUGUAGUUAAAUCUCUCUGAGGUGCUUGAAUCACUCCUAUCAUUUAUCCAUCACGUAGUCAUACCUAUGUGCGUGGUCAAGUCAGCUCUAAGAUAGAGACACACUACGUUUUUAAGGCCGCCUUGUUAAGUUAUCUUUCUUAUUCUGAGUCAAUUUUAUUACAUCCACAAUCCAUCCGUGCAAGCUUAUUCCCUUGAGACCCUGAAAAAUGGGUCAAACCCCACCUGUGCAUGAAAGGCUUUUUCAUAUUGAAGACAGAGCAUGUAUGCUACCUGAGUCCUCGCUUUUCCAGUGUAAACAUUCUUAUUUCUACGACUAUUCUCAUAUUUUCUUUCAAGAUCUGAAUCAGAAGCCUUUCCUGAGUUCCCCAGGCAGAGCUCCAGAGGAUUCUGUCUGUGCCUCUAGCGUCAUUCUUAUUCCAAUAUCCAUUAUGUGCCUAGCAGUCUCAGUUUGUAUCAGUUAGGAAUACUUUCAGCUACAAGUAACAGAAAGUCCAAAGAACAUUCCUUUAAACUGUGUGGCUAUUUAUUUACUUAAAAAAAAAAAAGACAACCAUAGAGAUAGGCAGUCUCAGGGUUAGUGUGACCACACACCCACGCCAUCGAGAACCCGAGGUCCUUCUAGCUUUCUUCUCUUCCCUUCACGACUUGUGAAUUUUGUCUUAGUUCUCUUCAUUUCGCUAUUGUAAGAUGUUUCUAGUGAGUUCAGGUAUCGUCUCCACAGUCAAGGCAAAAAGCAGAGGAAAAGAGGGAUGCUAGAUUUUUAUCUCUUUGAUCCCUUUUAUAAGGAAUCAAAGCCCACCUGAAAAUUUAGCAAAUUGAAACCAAAAAAAUAUAAGAAGGAUAAUACAUGAAGACCAAGUGGAAUUUAUCCUGGGAACGCAAAGUUGGCUUAACAUUUGAAAACCAAUCAACGUAAUUCAGUAUAUUAACAGACAAAAAGAAAGACGAUCUUAAUAAAUGUGGAAUGAGCAUUUGACAAAAUCCAACAUCCAUUAAUGAUAAAAAUUCUUAGUUAAAUUGGAAUGAAAGAAACUUUCUCAAUCUGAUAAGAGCAUCUGUAAAAAAACCUAAUAACAUACUUAAUGGUGAAAGAUUAAAUGUUUCUCCCCCAAGAUCAGGGAUGUAGCAAGAAUGUCUUCUCUCCUCACUUUUAUUCUUUGUUCCAGAGAUUUUAGUCAUAGAUUUAAGU